rnacentral:rRNA from 1 species
UACGUAGGGUGCAAGCGUUAAUCGGAAUUACUGGGCGUAAAGCGUGCGCAGGCGGUUCGCUAAGACAGAUGUGAAAUCCCCGGGCUUAACCUGGGAAUGGCAUUUGGGACUGCAAGGCUGGAGUUUGGCAGAGGAGACUGGAAUUCCUGGUGUAGCAGUGAAAUGCGUAGAUAUCAGGAGGAAUACCGAUGGCGAAGGCAGGUCUCUGGGCUAUAACUGACGCUCAUGCACGAAAGCGUGGGGAGCAAACAGG